GAUGAAGAACGUAGCGAAAUGCGAUAAGUAGUGUGAUUUGCAGAAUUCAGUGAAUCAUCGAAUCUUUGAACGCACAUUGCGCCCCUUGGUAUUCCAUGGGGCAUGCCUGUUCGAGCGUCAUUUGUACCUUCAAGCUUUGCUUGGUGUUGGGUGUUUGUCUCGCCUUUGCGUGUAGACUCGCCUUAAAAUAAUUGGCAGCCGGCGUAUUGAUUUCGGAGCGCAGUACAUCUCGCGCUUUGCACUCAUAACGACAGCGUCCAAAAGUACAUUUUACACUCUUGACCUCGGAUCAGGUAGGGAUACCCGCUGAACUUAAGCAUAUCAAUAAGCGGAGGA
rnacentral:misc_RNA from 1 species